rnacentral:rRNA from 1 species
CAGGCUUAACACAUGCAAGUCGAGGGGCAGCAUGGUCUUAGCUUGCUAAGGCCGAUGGCGACCGGCGCACGGGUGAGUAACACGUAUCCAACCUGCCGUCUACUCUUGGACAGCCUUCUGAAAGGAAGAUUAGUACAAGAUGGCAUCAUGAGUCCGCAUGUUCACAUGAUUAAAGGUAUUCCGGUAGACGAUGGGGAUGCGUUCCAUUAGAUAGUAGGCGGGGUAACGGCCCACCUAGUCUUCGAUGGAUAGGGGUUCUGAGAGGAAGGUCCCCCACAUUGGAACUGAGACACGGUCCAAACUCCUACGGGAGGCAGCAGUGAGGAAUAUUGGUCAAUGGGCGAGAGCCUGAACCAGCCAAGUAGCGUGAAGGAUGACUGCCCUAUGGGUUGUAAACUUCUUUUAUAAAGGAAUAAAGUCGGGUAUGGAUACCCGUUUGCAUGUACUUUAUGAAUAAGGAUCGGCUAACUCCGUGCCAGCAGCCGCGGUAAUACGGAGGAUCCGAGCGUUAUCCGGAUUUAUUGGGUUUAAAGGGAGCGUAGAUGGAUGUUUAAGUCAGUUGUGAAAGUUUGCGGCUCAACCGUAAAAUUGCAGUUGAUACUGGAUAUCUUGAGUGCAGUUGAGGCAGGCGGAAUUCGUGGUGUAGCGGUGAAAUGCUUAGAUAUCACGAAGAACUCCGAUUGCGAAGGCAGCCUGCUAAGCUGCAACUGACAUUGAGGCUCGAAAGUGUGGGUAUCAAACAGGAUUAGAUACCCUGGUAGUCCACACGGUAAACGAUGAAUACUCGCUGUUUGCGAUAUACUGCAAGCGGCCAAGCGAAAGCGUUAAGUAUUCCACCUGGGGAGUACGCCGGCAACGGCGAAACUCAAAGGAAUUGACGGGGGCCCGCACAAGCGGAGGAACAUGUGGUUUAAUUCGAUGGUACGCGAGGAACCUUACCCGGGCUUAAAUUGCAGAUGAAUUACGGUGAAAGCCGUAAGCCGCAAGGCAUCUGUGAAGGUGCUGCAUGGUUGUCGUCAGCUCGUGCCGUGAGGUGUCGGCUUAAGUGCCAUAACGAGCGCAACCCUUGUUGUCAGUUACUAACAGGUUCCGCUGAGGACUCUGACAAGACUGCCAUCGUAAGAUGUGAGGAAGGUGGGGAUGACGUCAAAUCAGCACGGCCCUUACGUCCGGGGCUACACACGUGUUACAAUGGGGGGUACAGAGGGCCGCUACCACGCGAGUGGAUGCCAAUCCCCAAAACCUCUCUCAGUUCGGACUGGAGUCUGCAACCCGACUCCACGAAGCUGGAUUCGCUAGUAAUCGCGCAUCAGCCACGGCGCGGUGAAUACGUUCCCGGGCCUUGUACACACCGCCCGUCAAGCCAUGGGAGCCGGGGGUACCUGAAGUGCGUAACCGCGAGGAGCGCCCUAGGGUAAAACUGGUGACUGGGGCUAAGUCAUAACA